GGGAAGUAGAGAAAACAUGGAAAAUGAAGAAAAAGAAAAAUUCGGAGCAAUAAUUAGAGAGAAAAAGUUGGGGCAAUAGAGAUGUGUACUUGGAAUGCACUAAUCCUGAAAACUUAGAAGACUGCAACUGGG
rnacentral:lncRNA from 1 species